CCCGCCCCGCCCGGAGCCAGCGCGCAGGCGCAGAGCAGCGCGGCCGGCGGGCCCGGCAGGUGCGGUGGCCCCUCGGCGCGGCCCGAGCCGUGACGGCCCCUGCUUCCCCGGAGCUGCCAUGGAGCGGAGGCUCCGCUGGGACCUAGCCAGGGUCUGCUGCUCCCUACUGGCCGCGCUCUGCGCCCUGCGCUGGGCCGCCGCCGAAGCCAGCAGCGGCCGGAGUUGGCUAAAAGCAUACGGCUAUUUGCUUCCCUCUGAAAGCCGAAUGUCUGCCCUGCACUCAGGAAAAGCUAUGCAGUCUGCAGUUGCCACUAUGCAACAAUUUUAUGGGAUCCCAGUAACAGGAGUGUUGGAUCAGACAACUAUUGAAUGGAUGAAGAAGCCUCGAUGUGGGGUUCCUGAUCAUCCCCAUAUAAGCCAUAGCCGAAGAAAUAAGCGAUAUGCGUUAACUGGACAAAAAUGGAGGCAGAAGCAUAUAACAUACAGUGUACACAACCACACCCCCAAGGUUGGAGAGCUUGAUACAAGGAGAGCCAUUCGUCAGGCAUUUGAUGUUUGGCAGAGAGUGACGCCACUAACCUUUGAAGAGGUCCCUUAUCAUGAAGUUAAAAGUGACAGGAAGGAAGCAGAUAUUAUGAUAUUUUUUGCUUCUGGUUUCCAUGGAGACAGUUCUCCAUUUGACGGAGAAGGUGGAUUCCUAGCUCAUGCUUACUUUCCUGGACCAGGAAUAGGAGGAGAUACUCACUUUGAUUCAGAUGAACCAUGGACUUUGGGAAAUUCUAAUCAUGAUGCUGUGCAGGUCUUUGAAGAUUUGGGCCACUAUCUCUCCAGAGAAAAUUGUCCCUUAGGGGAGGAAGGUGGUAUGAGUGCUGAAGAAACAGAGGCAAAGUCGGCAACCCAAUCCCAAGCCGACUGAGCUGCUGAGUGUGGUCAGCAAAGACAAUGAUGCAGUUGCUCAGCAGGGAGUGCAGAGACCUUUUCUUCAGUGGGAACGUGGGUCUUUCACAAGUUUGAAAAAGAGUGUUAAGCUAUUUUAACUGAAUGCUAAAUGAGACAUAAGACUCCAAUUACAGAUCCAUAUGCAUGGAGAAGAUCAUGGAUUCAGAACAAUUCCUAGAAAAAAUGCAUUGUCAAGAUAAAGUUAUGCUUGUAAAUAAAGAUUAGUUAAUUUUAAACACCCUA